CAGCAGCCGCGGUAAUACGAAGGGUGCAAGCGUUAAUCGGAAUUACUGGGCGUAAAGCGUGCGUAGGCGGUUUGUUAAGUCUGUUGUGAAAUCCCCAGGCUCAACCUGGGAAUGGCAAUGGAUACUGGCAAGCUAGAGUGUGUCAGAGGAUGGUGGAAUUCCCGGUGUAGCGGUGAAAUGCGUAGAGAUCGGGAGGAACAUCAGUGGCGAAGGCGGCCAUCUGGGACAACACUGACGCUGAGGCACGAAAGCGUGGGGAGCAAACAGGAUUAGAUACCCCGGUAGUCCCUGUCUCUUAUAC
rnacentral:rRNA from 1 species